rnacentral:rRNA from 1 species
GACGAACGCUGGCGGCGUGCUUAACACAUGCAAGUCGAACGGAAAGGCCCUGCUUUUGUGGGGUGCUCGAGUGGCGAACGGGUGAGUAACACGUGAGUAACCUGCCCUUGACUUUGGGAUAACUUCAGGAAACUGGGGCUAAUACCGGAUAGGAGCUCCUGCUGCAUGGUGGGGGUUGGAAAGUUUCGGCGGUUGGGGAUGGACUCGCGGCUUAUCAGCUUGUUGGUGGGGUAGGUGCUUACCAAGGCUUUGACGGGUAGCCGGCCUGAGAGGGUGACCGGCCACAUUGGGACUGAGAUACGGCCCAGACUCCUACGGGAGGCAGCAGUGGGGAAUAUUGCACAAUGGGCGGAAGCCUGAUGCAGCAACGCCGCGUGCGGGAUGACGGCCUUCGGGUUGUAAACCGCUUUCGCCUGUGACGAAGCGUGAGUGACGGUAAUGGGUAAAGAAGCACCGGCUAACUACGUG